rnacentral:ncRNA from 2 species
AAAAGGUAAAUAAGGAAGGUUCGUAUAUUCUCGGGAAUAGGGCUCGGGAGUUUCUACGAGGUCGCCGCAAACGACCUGGCUACGAACAAGACAUCAACGGGG